UCUUCCCUCUUUCUUCGUGCCUAAUACAUGCAAGUCGAGCGAACAGACGAGGAGCUUGCUCCUCUGACGUUAGCGGCGGACGGGUGAGUAACACAUGGAUAACCUACCUAUAAGACUGGGAUAACUUCGGGAAACCGGAGCUAAUACCGGAUAAUAUAUUGAACCGCAUGGUUCAAUAGUGAAAGACGGUUUUGCUGUCACUUAUAGAUGGAUCCGCGCCGCAUUAGCUAGUUGGUAAGGUAACGGCUUACCAAGGCAACGAUGCGUAGCCGACCUGAGAGGGUGAUCGGCCACACUGGAACUGAGACACGGUCCAGACUCCUACGGGAGGCAGCAGUAGGGAAUCUUCCGCAAUGGGCGAAAGCCUGACGGAGCAACGCCGCGUGAGUGAUGAAGGUCUUCGGAUCGUAAAACUCUGUUAUUAGGGAAGAACAAAUGUGUAAGUAACUAUGCACGUCUUGACGGUACCUAAUCAGAAAGCCACGGCUAACUACGUG
rnacentral:rRNA from 1 species